UNUUCAGAUCUGUGAAUGACAGUAAGUGG
rnacentral:piRNA from 1 species